UACGUAGGUGUCGAGCGUUGUCCGGAUUUAUUGGGCGUAAAGCGCCCGCAGGCGGCUUGGCAAGUUCGAGGUGAAAUCUCCCGGCUCAACUGGGAGGGUGCCUCGGAAACUGCCAGGCUUGAGGCAGGGAGAGGGAUGUGGAAUUCCCGGUGUAGUGGUGGAAUGCGUAGAUAUCGGGAAGAACACCAGUGGCGAAGGCGGUCCGCCU
rnacentral:rRNA from 1 species